rnacentral:rRNA from 1 species
AGGACAUGGGAAGCUUGCUUCCUAUGAAAUCGAGUGGCAAACGGGUGAGUAACGCGUAAACAACCUGCCCUUCGGAUGGGGAUAACAGCCGGAAACGGCUGCUAAUACCGAAUACGAUCUUUUCGUCGCAUGACGGAAAGAAGAAAGGAUGGCCUCUAUACAAAGCUAUCGCCGAAGGAGGGGUUUGCGUCUGAUUAGCUGGUUGGAGGGGUAACGGCCCAACAAGGCGAUGAUCAGUAGCCGGUCUGAGAGGAUGAACGGCCACAUUGGGACUGAGACACGGCCCAGACUCCUACGGGAGGCAGCAGUGGGGAAUCUUCCGCAAUGGACGAAAGUCUGACGGAGCAACGCCGCGUGAGUGAAGAAGGUCUUCGGAUUGUAAAGCUCUGUUAUACGGGACGAAAAAGACGGAUGCCAACAGUAUCCGUCCGUGACGGUACCGUAAGAGAAAGCCACGGCUAACUACGUGCCAGCAGCCGCGGUAAUACGUAGGUGGCAAGCGUUGUCCGGAAUUAUUGGGCGUAAAGGGCGCGCAGGCGGUUCGGUAAGUCUGUCUUAAAAGUGCGGGGCUUAACCCCGUGAGGGGACGGAAACUGUCGAACUUGAGUGUCGGAGAGGAAAGCGGAAUUCCUAGUGUAGCGGUGAAAUGCGUAGAUAUUAGGAGGAACACCGGUGGCGAAAGCGGCUUUCUGGAC